AUUGAACGCUGGCGGCAGGCCUAACACAUGCAAGUCGAACGAGUGGCGGACGGGUGAGUAAUGUCUGGGAAACUGACUGAUGGAGGGGGCUAAAUAGUGGAAACGGUAGCUAAUACCGCAUACCCUGGGAUGUGCCCAGAUGGGAAUAGCGAGUAGGGGGGGUAAAGGCUCACCUAGGAGAAGCUCCCUAGCUGGUCUGAGAGGAUGACCAGCCACACUGGAACUGAGACACGGUCCAGACUCCGACGUGAGGCAGCAGUGGGGAAUAUUGCACAAUGGGCGCAAGCCUGAUGCAGCCAUGACGCGUGUAUGAAGAAGGCCUUCGGGUUGUAAAGUACUUUCAGCGGGGAGGCGUUACCCGCAGAAGAAGCACCGGCUAACUCCGUGCCAGCAGCCGCGGUAAUAC
rnacentral:rRNA from 1 species